GAGACCGUAUUGAUAAGGACAUGAACAAAUGAACACCCGCUUAAAGAGAGGGAAGCCGUGGCUGAAAGCUUCCUAGCAGAGGACCAUUUGCUUUACCACCUUUGAACAUCAGCUGUGAACUGUUUAGUAAUAGCUGACGGGAAUUCCCGUUAUUGAACCACAAGCCGUAUUUGCUUUUGACAAAGCAAGCUGCAAAUACGGGAAAAAGGGUGGAACCACGAUUCCGUUUAUUCAACCUCGUCCCUUUC
rnacentral:ncRNA from 3 species